rnacentral:rRNA from 1 species
AGUAUACUAAGCAUGGCAAACGGGAGAGUAACACAUUGGUAAUUUACCCUGAGGACGAGGAUAACCCUGCGAAAGCGGGAAUAAUACUCGAUGGUAGUAAAUUGACUUAAGUCAAUUUACUUAAAGCCCCGACGCCUCAGGAGAAGCCUAUGGUCUAUCAGCUAGUUGGUGGGGUAAAAGCCUACCAAGGCUACGACGGAUAGCGGGUGCGAGAGCAUGACCCGUCUCACUGGGACUGAGAUACUGCCCAGACUCCUACGGGAGGCUGCAGUCAAGAAUCUUCCUCAAUGGCCGAAAGGCUGAAGGAGCGACGCCGCGUGUAUGAUGAAGCUUUUCGGAGUGUAAAGUACUUUUAACUAGGACGAAACAAUGACUUUACUAGUUGAAUAAGGGGCUGCUAACCUCGUGCCAGCAGCAGCGGUAAUACGAGGGCCCCAAGCGUUAUCCGGAUUUAUUGGGCGUAAAGGGUCCGUAGGUGGUUUAUCACAUCUUCUGUUAAAUUUUCUGGCUCAACCAGGAAACUGCAGAAGAGAUGGAUAGACUAGAGGUCGGAAGAGGUAAGCGGAAUUGCUGUGUAGGGGUUAAAUCCGUUAAUAUCAGCAAGAACACCAAAAGCGAAGGCAGCUUACUAGGACGUACCUGACACUCAUGGACGAAAGCGUGGGGAGCGAAUGGGAUUAGAUACCCCAGUAGUCCACGCCGUAAACGUUGAAUGCUAAGUAUUGGGAGUUUCGACCCUCCCAGUGCUGUUACUUUAAGUUAACACGUUAAGCAUUCCGCCUGGGGAGUACGGCCGCAAGGCUAAAACUCAAAGGAAUAGACGGGGACCCGCACAAGCGGUGGAGCAUGUGGUUUAAUUCGACAAUAAGCGAGGAACCUCACCAAGGUUUGACAUAUAGCUGCAAGCUCUAGAAAUAGAGUCGCCUUCGAGGGUGCUAUACAGAUGCUGCAUGGUUGUCGUCAGCUCGUGUCGUGAGAUGUACCGUUAAGUCGGAAAACGAGCGCAACCCCUAUCCUAUGUUUUAUGUGUCAUAGGAGACUGCCCGUUUUAAAUGGGAGGAAGGCGGGGAUGACGUCAAAUCAGCAUGGUUCUUACACCUUGGGCAACACACGUGCUACAAUGGGAAGUACAGAGGGACGCCAAACCGUAAGGUGGAGCAAAUCCCAAAAAACUUCUCUUAGUUCGGAUCGAGGUCUGCAAUUCGACCUCGUGAAGCUGGAAUCGCUAGUAAUCGUGGAUCAGAACGCCACGGUGAAUACGUUCUCGGGUCUUGUACUCACCGCCCGUCACACCAAGGGAGUCGGUAGUGCCCGAAGCCUCUUUUAGGGGUUAAGGUAAGACUGGUAACAAGGGUGAAGUCGUAACAAGGCA